AUGAUACUCCCUCCGUCCGAAAAUACUUGUCAUCAAAAUGGUUGAAAGGGAUGUAUCUAGAACUAAAAUACGUCUAGAUACAUCUCCUUUUAUCCAUUUUGAUGACAAGUAUUUCCAGACGGAGGGAGCAGAUA
rfam:Triticum aestivum genome assembly, contig: Triticum_aestivum_CS42_TGACv1_scaffold_092893_2AL